rnacentral:tRNA from 1 species
UGGGCCGUGGCCUAGCAAGGUAUGGCGGCGGGCUCCAGACCCGCAGGUCCCGGGUUCGAGUCCCGGCGGCCCCACCA